GACGAACGCUGGCGGCGUGCUUAACACAUGCAAGUCGAGCGGUAAGGCCUUUCGGGGUACACGAGCGGCGAACGGGUGAGUAACACGUGGGUGACCUGCCCUGCACUUCGGGAUAAGCCUGGGAAACUGGGUCUAAUACCGGAUGGGACCAUUCCAUGCAUGUGGGGUGGUGGAAAGUCGGUGCUGUUGUGGUGUCGGCGGUGGGGA
rnacentral:rRNA from 1 species